GCGUGCAGGAUGAAAGCCUUAGGGUUGUAAAGCUCUUUCGCGGGUGAAGAUAAUGACGGUAACCUGAGAAGAAGCCCCGGCUAACUUCGUGCCAGCAGCCGCGGUAAUACGAAGGGGGCUAGCGUUGUUCGGAAUUACUGGGCGUAAAGCGCACGUAGGCGGACUUUUAAGUCAGGGGUGAAAUCCCAGGGCUCAACCCUGGAACUGCCUUUGAAACUAGGUGACUAGAAUCUUGGAGAGGUCAGUGGAAUUCCGAGUGUAGAGGUGAAAUUCGU
rnacentral:rRNA from 1 species